rnacentral:rRNA from 1 species
GACGAACGCUGGCGGCGUGCUUAACACAUGCAAGUCGAACGGAAAGGCCCUGCUUUUGUGGGGUGCUCGAGUGGCGAACGGGUGAGUAACACGUGAGUAACCUGCCCUUGACUUUGGGAUAACUUCAGGAAACUGGGGCUAAUACCGGAUAGGAGCUCCUGCUGCAUGGUGGGGGUUGGAAAGUUUCGGCGGUUGGGGAUGGACUCGCGGCUUAUCAGCUUGUUGGUGGGGUAGUGGCUUACCAAGGCUGUGACGGGUAGCCGGCCUGGGAGGGUGACCGGGGACCUGGGGCCUGCGAGACGGACCAGAAUGCAACGGGAGGCAGCAGGGGGGAAUAUGGCACAACGGGCGGAAGCCAGAUGCGGCAACGCCGCGUGCGGGAUGCUGUGUUACGGGUGGUAAACCGCUUUCGACUGUGACGAAGCGUGCGUGACGGUAAUGGGUAAAGAAGCACCGGCUAACUACGUG